CGGGGGAGCGGUUCGUUCUCACGCUCGGUCGUACUUAUAACCGCAUCAGGUCUCCAAGGUGUGCAGCCUCUGGUCGAUAGAAGAAUGUAGAUAAGGGAAGUCGGCAAAAUAGAUCCGUAACCUCGGGAAAAGGAUUGGCUCUGAGGGUUGGGCCUAGGGGUCUCUUAGUUUAGCAG
rnacentral:rRNA from 1 species